rnacentral:rRNA from 1 species
UUGGGAAUAUUGCACAAUGGGCGCAAGCCUGAUGCAGCCAUGCCGCGUGAGUGAAGACGGCCUUAGGGUUGUAAAGCUCUUUCAGGUGCGAGGAUAAUGACCGUAACACCAGAAGAAGCCCCGGCUAAAUUCGUGCCAGCAGCCGCGGUAAUACGAAUGGGGCGAGCGUUGUUCGGAAUCACUGGGCGUAAAGCGUAUGUAGGCGGAUAUGAAAGUCAGAAGUGAAAGCCCGGGGCUUAACCCCGGAAUUGCUUUUGAAACUUCAUAUCUAGAGUUCUGGAGAGGCAAGGGGAAUUCCGAGUGUAGAGGUGAAAUUCGCAGAUAUUCGGAGGAACACCAGUGGCGUAGGCGCCUUGCUGGACAGAUACUGACGCUGAGAUACGAAAGCGUGGGGAGCAAACAGGAUUAGAUACCCCCGUAGUCC